rnacentral:rRNA from 1 species
UACGUAGGGGGCGAGCGUUGUCCGGAUUUACUGGGCGUAAAGCGCGUGUAGGCGGUCCCUUAAGUCCGGGGUGAAAGGCGGAGGCUCAACCUCCGAGCUGCGCCGGAAACUGGGGGUCUUGAAUGUCGGAGAGGGGCGUGGAAUUCCUGGUGUAGCGGUGAAAAGCGUAGAGAUCAGGAGGAACACCGGUGGCGAAGGCGGCGCCCUGGCCGAACAUUGACGCUGAGACGCGAAAGCGCGGGGAGCGAACGGG